rnacentral:misc_RNA from 1 species
UGAUGUCAGGGUCAAAAGGUCAAAAUCCGAUUGUGCUUGCACAAAGAGGAUUGAGACCUUGGGACCCUGACAUCAUAAAAUAGAUUUAUGUAAUAUCGUAAAUCUUGUUUGGAACGGAGGUAUUAUAUGUCACAGAAAAACGAAGACUAUAUGUCA